rnacentral:pre_miRNA from 1 species
GAUGUACUCCCUUUGUUCCGAAUUACUUGUCUCGGAUAUGGAUGUAUCUAGAACUAACAUACAUCUAGAUACAUCCAUUUCUACGACAAGUAAUUCCGAACGGAGGGAGUAAAUG